ensembl:lncRNA
GCGCCCCUCCUCCCGCCCGCGCACGGGGACUCUUGCGCAGGGAUGCUGCGGUCGGGGGGUGGGGGGCGGCCGGAGCUAGGUCCGCGCAGGCGCGUGCCGCCCGCACCCCUCCCUCCUACCCCCUGCCCUGGUGGCGCCGGAGCGACACCUGGCCCUCUCCUUGUCGCCUCCCGCCGCGAGUCUCCCAGGCUCCUUCCCCGCCUCCGUCCCCAGCAUCAGGCCUUUGCGGAGGAGUACGUCGUCUUCUUACUGGUGACCUCGCGUCCGCCCGGGAUACGUCUUAGGAAACAGGACAAGGAAGAAUGGGCAUCUUGAGGAGCAGGAUGAGAUCAUAGAUUUUAAGAAGAGCAGCUAGGAAGAUAGUGGGUUACAAGGCAAAGCAUCCUGGACCAGGAAUCAAGAGGCCUCAGUCCAGCUCUGAUCCUCAGUCAUUUCACAGCAGGUGAGAGAAACAUGCAAUUCUUCCAAUAAAUGGUCUUAAAAGGAGAGCCCAAGAGAUGCUGCACAGCAAUUUUCGGCUUCCCAGAAGCAGCAGACGUGCAUAAGAGUCCUCAAAAGGAGCCUUGAUCUGCACCAGCGCUGAGGAGGACAACAUGAACCUAUGCUUACAUUUUGGGGGAAAUAACUGGGAAGGAGAAGAGAGAAGGCCUUAGAGAAGGAGUUAUCCCUACACAGUAAUAAGAGCCUGUUAACUUGACAAGAUUGCCGGUGGUGACGGGAAUAGUGACCGGCUCUACACACACGCACGCCAGGCAUCUUAGCUCGUCUAAUCACCAGUGCCACCCUCCACUCUCCUGGCAACCAUUUGCCAAAAAUAAAUAAGCCCAUAGCACUAUGAAGAUUGAGCUUUACUAAUUUACUAGCUAGGAAAAAGUAGGUUAUAGUUUCUGGUGAAUAUUUAUAAAAAUCUCUAUUCACUAUAACUGAUACUUAAGGAUUUUAUUCAAAAUUGUGUAGCAGUACAGAAGUAAAUGAGCAGACAUUUCAUCUGAGUAGAAAAGUGGGGGCUAAAGAGUAAAGCUGAAUAAUAACAGAGUCAGAAAGAAUAAGAAGGCAAAAAAUAAAACAUUGUGACUACAAAACAACUAAAACCAAGCGAUGAUUGCUUGAAAUGUGUGAAUAUGCCCUGACUGGCUGUGAGUGACACAGCAUCUGUCCUCCUUGAUAUCACGGAGCACAAAUCCUGUAAAACUCCAUGUGACUAGUAAGGAAAGCAGAAGCUAACACUACCUUACCCGGUAUUUGGGUAUUUCCAACUUACUGCUUCCUAUUCCACAGGCUUUAAAUAAUUAUACAAUGAGAAGAUGUAAGUAGAAAUAGCUGGCAUCCUACAACUCCUAUAAAAGUAAUGUAAAUGAGUGACAUCUGUGUAUCUUUUGACACAAAUGCUCACCAAUAAAUGCAGAAGAAGGGAUAAGAGUAAAAAGCCAAGAUUUUCCAACCACCAUAGUAAUUGAUUCUGGCUAGAAUUAUCAAUGGAUGCUAAAAUGAUUGGUUGAAGGAUUGUUAAGGAACAAGAUAUUCACACAAUCUGAAACAUCAUUCCAGGGAUCAUAUUACUUACAAAGGGAAAAGGAAGUUUGAGAAUGGAAAACUGGCAGACAGUACCUUAACCAAAUGAUCAAGUUAACAUGACCAGUAAUGGGACAUACUGAUACCACAUGCCUCCUGCAGCGAGGCACUGAGAGGAUACCAGGCCUGCAAUCCUGCGUGGCACCACGGCUCCGAAAGGGCAGCAGAAAGCUGCUACACAGAGCUGCUUCAUGAGGCUUUCAGGGAAACCAUUAGGUUGAGUCAAAAAAUGGAAUGCUGGUGAGAGUUUUGGGUAGUAAGUUUCAGCAAAACUUAUUGACAGCAGGAAUUUUGCGGAGACUGUGUGUCCUCUCAGGAAACUGGCGUUCAUAUGGAAAUAGUUCUCAGCUGCUUGAGGAGCAGCAGUAUAACAAAUCUGCAAGGGUCUCCAUGGCCAAUUCAAACCUCUCUGCUCUCGUGAAGGCCAGGGUCAGCGCCCUUCUCCAAGUACUCGUCCUGCAUCUCUACCACCAGGAACUUACUGAUGAUGUCCUUCCCAGCGCCUUUGAACAAGACAACUUUUAGCCAAGAAAGAUUUCCUAGGCCAGUGCUUCACACACUUUCAUGUGCACACAAGCCCCUGGGAAUCUUGUUAAAUUGCAGACUUCAAUUCAGUGUGUCUGGCAUGGAGCCUAAGAUUUUGCAUUUCUAACAAGUUCCCAGACCUGGCCUUGCCACUCACUGAAUUCUUGGAACACUGCUGUGGUCAUGUGAAGAAGCCCAGUUAGCUUCCUUGAAGAUGAAAGACCACAUGGGAGGAGAAGCCAGCCAUCUCAGCCUCCCAGCUGAGAGCAGCCCCAAGCCCACGGACUCAUGGAAUGCAGCUACCUGAGCAAACCCAGAGACCAAAAGAUUACUUUCACUUUCUUGUUCUCUUUCUCAUUUGUAGGUUAACUGAGUUACUUAUAUGGGAAAAACCUAUAAAUUAAAGUAUUCUUAAUAAACUUAUAUGGAACAAAUCUGGAAAUUAAAAUAUUCAUAAUAAACUAGAAAACAUUGCUGUAUUCCAUAAUCUAAAAUAUGAACAUAAUAUGCAUUGCAAUUUUUUGAAUUCCCAGAGUAUGUGGAGAGUGAGAAUGAAUAAAUGAAUAAUGUUAAAGCCAAACGUAGUCUAUCACAUCCAAGAUUUAAAAAAAAAAAAGCUAAAAAACUGGUCACUCAUGAUAAAAGCAAUUUUUAAAUUGCUGAGUAUUUUAAUAUUUAAAAACUCAGGAUAGUGAAAGCUGGAACCUGAAAAGAGAUAUAUAAAGAUGGUUAUAUAUAUAUUUUUUCUAACGUAAGAAUAAUUAUUUCAGAUUUUGCUAGAUUUAGAGUUUUGAUCAAAAGUCUACAAAAAGUAAACAAACAAACAGGAUUUACAGUCAACAUUGUGGGUAGAUAAGACAGAUAAAUUUUGUAGGCAAGAGAUUCCACCAUUAUUAACUACAGACAACAUCUUUCUGCCAGUUGGAACAUACCAACCUUGCAAAAUGGAAUAUGCUUUGUUUUUUGUUUUUUAAAAAGCAUAGUCUCUUAAAAUCUAGAACUGGCUGAGCUUAAAUGUUAGAGAAGUUAAUUGACUUGCCCAAAAUCACAGUGCUGGGAGGUGGCUUAGGUAAGGUGAAAAGUGAUUUCUAACUACUAGUCUAAUAUUCUUUCCAUUUACCAGUCCACUACCUUCUUUUAUCAUGUUCCUGAAUAUUUUAGAGGUUUAUGCUAUUUUUACAGGCGUGUGUGCCUUCAGUUUUAGUUGGGAAAAGUGAAGGAUAGUUGCUCCCUAGUGUCAGAACGAUAAACCCCACUGAUUAAUUGAUUCCUUCAUUCAAUAACUAUUUACUCAGUGGCUUCUGUUAUGAUAGGCUCUGUUCUAGGUUCUAGGGCUAUAGCAGUGACCAAAUUGGACAAUAGUUCUCAUUGUUGUGGAGGAUUUUAGUGAGGGAUAUGAAGAGCUGCACAGGUAAAGUCUCCAGUACUCCAGGGGUUAG